rnacentral:rRNA from 1 species
GCAUAUCAAUAAGCGGAGGAAAAGAAACCAACAGGGAUUGCCCUAGUAACGGCGAGUGAAGCGGCAACAGCUCAAAUUUGAAAGCUGGCCUUCGGGUCCGCAUUGUAAUUUGUAGAGGAUGCUUUGGGUGAAACGCCAGUCUAAGUUCCUUGGAACAGGACGUCAUAGAGGGUGAGAAUCCCGUAUGUGACUGGAAAUGUUAACCUAUGUAAAGCUCCUUCGACGAGUCGAGUUGUUUGGGAAUGCAGCUCUAAAUGGGAGGUAAAUUUCUUCUAAAGCUAAAUAUUGGCGAGAGACCGAUAGCGCACAAGUAGAGUGAUCGAAAGAUGAAAAGCACUUUGGAAAGAGAGUUAAAAAGCACGUGAAAUUGUUGAAAGGGAAGCGCUUGCAAUCAGACUUGUUUAAACUGUUCGGCCGGUCUUCUGACCGGUUUACUCAGUUUGGACAGGCCAGCAUCAGUUUCGGCGGCCGGAUAAAGGCUCUGGGAAUGUGGCCUUCACUUCGGUGAAGGUGUUAUAGCCCAGGGUGUAAUACGGCCAGCCGGGACUGAGGUCCGCGCUUCGGCUAGGAUGCUGGCGUAAUGGUUGUAAGCGACCCGUCUUGAAACACGGACCAAGGAGUCUAACAUCUAUGCGAGUGUUCGGGUGUCAAACCCCUGCGCGUAAUGAAAGUGAACGGAGGUGGGAACCGCAAGGUGCACCAUCGACCGAUCCUGAUGUCUUCGGAUGGAUUUGAGUAAGAGCAUAGCUGUUGGGACCCGAAAGAUGGUGAACUAUGCCUGAAUAGGGUGAAGCCAGAGGAAACUCUGGUGGAGGCUCGCAGCGGUUCUGACGUGCAAAUCGAUCGUCAAAUUUGGGUAUAGGGGCGAAAGACUAAUCGAACCAUCUAGUAGCUGGUUCCUGCC